rnacentral:rRNA from 1 species
CCUAAAAUCUAGCCCAACCAACACGAAUAUUACUAUAUUAAUUUAAAUCUCUUAAUAAAUCAUUCUAUUAUUUUAGUAAAGGAGAUUGAAAAAUUUUUCUGGAGCUAUAACAAUAGUACCGCAAGGGAAGGACGAAAUAUAUAAUGAAAAAUUUUAAGCAUAAAAAAGUAAAGACUUCCCCUUGUACCUUUUGCAUCAUGGUUUAACUAGUCUAACCAAGCAAAACGAAUUUGAGUUUGGCCCCCCGAAACUAAGUGAGCUACUUCAGGGCAGCUAAUAGAGCAAACCCGUCCCUGUAGCAAAAGAGUGGGAUGACCCUUAAGUAGCGGUGACAGACCUAACGAACUUAGUGAUAGCUGGUUACUCAGAAAAUGGACCUAAGUCCAACCUGAAGUUUAACUUAGUUUAUUAAAACAACUACUCAUCUUCAGCGUAAUUCAAAUAAGGUACAGCCUAUUUGAAACAGGAUACAACCUAGGCUUAUGGAUAAAACCAGCUGAACAAACAACCAAGUGGGCCUAAAAGCAGCCAUCUUUUAAAUUGCGUCAAAGCUUAAUUGUCUCCGUGCCUGAUACCCAAAUUAUCAUUUUAAUCCUUCACCUAUACUGAGUAAUUCUAUAUAACUAUAGAAAUUUUUAUGUUAAAACUAGUAACAAGAAGAAGACCCUUCUCUUAAAUGUAAGCGUAAAUCAGAAAGGACAAACCACUGAUACUUAACACCAUUGAGCUCAGAACAGUAACUAAUCAAGAAAACCCUGUUUUAACUUAUGUUAACCUGACACAAGAACAUUUUAAGAAAGAUUAAAAGAAAAAGAAGGAACUCGGCAAAUAUUAACCUCGCCUGUUUACCAAAAACAUCGCCUCUUGAAUUCGUAUAAGAGGUCCAGCCUGCCCAGUGACUCUGUUUAACGGCCGCGGUAUCCUAACCGUGCGAAGGUAGCGUAAUCACUUGUUCUUUAAAUGAGGACUAGUAUGAAUGGCACCACGAGGGUUAUACUGUCUCCCUUUUCUAAUCAGUGAAACUAAUCUCCCCGUGAAGAAGCGGGGAUAAAAAUAUAAGACGAGAAGACCCUAUGGAGCUUUAAACUAUAUAGCACUUACUACCAAUUUUACAACUCACGAGUUCCUUCCAUAUCAGCUACUAUGACUAUAAGUUUUUGGUUGGGGUGACCACGGAGCACAACAUAACCUCCAUGUUGAAGGAAUUUAUUUCUAAGCCAAGAGCCACACCUCUAAGAAUCAAUAUCUUGACAUCAAUUGACCCAAUAUACUUGAUCAACGAACCAAGUUACCCUAGGGAUAACAGCGCAAUCUACUUCAAGAGCCCCUAUCGACAAGUGGGUUUACGACCUCGAUGUUGGAUCAGGGUCCCCCAGUGGUGCAGCC